CCUACGGGUGGCAGCAGUGAGGAAUAUUGGUCAAUGGGCGCUAGUCUGAACCAGCCAAGCAGCGUGAAGGAUGACUGCCCUAUGGGUUGUAAACUUCUUUUAUAUGGGAAUAAACUGCAGUAUGCAUACUGCUUUGCAUGUACCUUAUGAAUAAGGAUCGGCUAACUCCGUGCCAGCAGCCGCGGUAAUACGGAGGAUUCGAGCGUUAUCCGGAUUUAUUGGGUUUAAAGGGAGCGUAGGCGGGUUGUUAAGUCAGUUGUGAAAUUUUGCGGCUCAACCGUAAAAUUGCCGUUGAUACUGGCAGCCUAGAGUACAGUAGAGGUAGGCGGAAUGCGUGGUGUAGCGGUGAAAUGCUUAGAGAUCACGAAGAACUCCGAUUGCGAAGGCAGCCUGCUGGACUGUAACUGACGCUGAUGCACGAAAGUGUGGGUAUCAAACAGGAUUAGAUACCCCAGUAGUC
rnacentral:rRNA from 1 species